rnacentral:rRNA from 1 species
AGUGAACGCUGGCGGUAGGCCUAACACAUGCAAGUCGAACGGCAGCACAGUAAGAGCUUGCUCUUACGGGUGGCGAGUGGCGGACGGGUGAGGAAUACAUCGGAAUCUACUUUUUCAUGGGGGAUAACGUAGGGAAACUUACGCUAAUACCGCAUACGACCUACGGGUGAAAGCAGGGGAUCUUCGGACCUUGCGCGAUUGAAUGAGCCGAUGUCGGAUUAGCUAGUUGGCGGGGUAAAGGCCCACCAAGGCGACGAUCCGUAGCUGGUCUGAGAGGAUGAUCAGCCACACUGGAACUGAGACACGGUCCAGACUCCUACGGUAGGCAGCAGUGGGGAAUAUUGGACAAUGGGCGCAAGCCUGAUCCAGCCAUACCGCGUGGGUGAAGAAGGCCUUCGGGUUGUAAAGCCCUUUUGUUGGGAAAGAAAAGCAGCAGGUUAAUACCCCGCUGUUCUGACGGUACCCAAAGAAUAAGCACCGGCUAACUUCGUG